rnacentral:rRNA from 1 species
UACGUAGGGUGCAAGCGUUGUCCGGAAUUAUUGGGCGUAAAGCGCGUGUAGGCGGCCCGGUUAGUCCGCUGUGAAAGUCCAGGGCUCAACCCUGGAAUGCCGGUGGAUACUGUCGGGCUAGAGUCCGGAAGGGGCGAGUGGAAUUCCUGGUGUAGCGGUGAAAUGCGCAGAUAUCUGGAGGAACACCGGUGGCGAAGGCGGCAUUCUGGACCAAUAUUGACGCUGAGGAGCGAAAGCCAGGGGAGCAAACGGG